GAUGUUCACAUGAAGAAUAAUUGCUUGCGUCCUAACCUGUCUUCCUGACCCAUCCGGUCGGAGGAGCCCCACGCAGGGCCCCGGUUGCGCCGGGACAGGCGGGCGGGCGGGGCCGGCGUCCGCGCAACGAUGCUGGGUCCCGGCAGGGGGCGCGCUGAUGCCGCGUGCCGCCCUCACUCCUGGCCCUGGGCUCUUGGAGAGCGCCGGGAUCUGCAGCUUGGAGGGCCGGAGACCCUGGCGCUGGGUUCUCAGAACUGCCUUUUGCACAGCACCCUGAAACCCGGCGUAGCCCAACUUCUACCUUCCUGGAACAGCCCUCUAAAAAGGAGUCUCCAGUGCCAUCCCACCUUCAGCCUGAUUCCUAAAACCUUGCCCUUGUCCUAAUCCCUCUAACAUUCCUCUUCCCCACUUCUUGCUUCAAACUCACUUAACCUUUGCCUGACCUCUCUGGGCCAAGGAUGGAAGAGGCAACGCUAGUUAGCCAAAGGACGGGGGGGCGGCGGGGGAGACCGGCGCACAAAGGCUGGGACGGCCCCGGCGGGAGUUCACGGGCGGGCGGGGCUCUGGAGGCGCGGCCCUGCUGGUUCCCGGAGCCUGGGCGGGCAGAGCGAGGAAAGCGUCUUCCCGGCCCGGGCUCUCUCAGCUGACGCUCCAAUCCUGUCUCAUCGGCCUGGUCGCUGCCCCGCCUCAACCCCGGCUCCCCCAGUGUCCGCCAUGGCCAAAGCCUACGACCACCUCUUCAAGUUACUGCUGAUCGGUGACUCCGGGGUGGGCAAGACUUGUCUGAUCAUUCGCUUUGCAGAGGACAACUUCAACAAUACGUACAUCUCCACCAUCGGAAUUGAUUUCAAGAUCCGCACUGUGAAUAUAGAGGGGAAGAAGAUCAAACUGCAAGUCUGGGACACAGCUGGGCAAGAGCGAUUCAAGACGAUAACUACUGCCUAUUACCGAGGAGCCAUGGGCAUUAUCCUAGUGUAUGACAUCACAGAUGAGAAGUCUUUUGAGAAUAUUCAGAACUGGAUGAAAAGCAUCAAAGAGCAUGCUUCAGCUGGGGUGGAGCGCCUCUUGCUGGGAAACAAGUGUGACAUGGAGGCCAAGAGGAGGGUGCAGAAAGAGCAGGCUGAUAAGUUGGCUCAAAAGCACGGAAUCCGAUUUUUUGAGACAAGUGCUAAAUCCAGUAUGAAUGUGGCUGAGGCUUUUAGUUCCCUGGCCCGGGACAUCUUGCUGAAGUCAGGAAGCCAGAGAGUAGUCUGUAACGGACAAAUGGGUGACAGCCCAGGGAGCAGCGAACCGAGAAUCUAGCAAUCCUCGGCGGCCGCAGUUUCCUGGAUUCUCUCGAAGAGUACCAGGACCACAAUGCAAUGAGGCGCCAGGCCAAUUCUCAGAGAGCAGCGGGCGAGGCGCCGCGGAGCGCCAAGACUACAAGCCCCAGCGGACGCCGACGGGCCGCUUCGGGCCUGCGCCCCAGGAUCCUCCGCGGCAAGAUGGCCGCGUCGGGGGCGGAGACUGAGGUGGGAAAGUGGUAGGCCAGUGGGUCCUCGCCGGCCUUUCUUCCUGUACCUGCGGGUUCCGCGGAAGUAAUGCGCGUCGGUAGCGAACAAAUGCACAUAGCCUUUUCUCGCUCUGGACAAGAGGACGUUCAGAUAGAGCCUGUGCCCUAGAGGCAACCCCGGCGAGCGCGACCCGGGAACCUCCGGAAGGGCUGGACAGUAAGGGCGGCCUCUGAGCUCUGACAGGCGCGAGGCCACACGAGCAGGUCCCCUCUAUUCGGACGGAUUGGGGAGACCUUGUCCACGGACAGCAGAGGUGUCCUGCUUUCUAGAAUCUGACUUUUGCCUCUUUCUCCCACCCGCUGCAGCCAAGUAGAGGCUUCAGAGCCAGAGGAGAAACUGUCAGUAAGCACUUCGAAUUUGCCGUGCUGGCUGGUGGAAGAGUUUGUGGUGGCAGAAGAGUGUGCUCCAUGUUCUAAUUUCCGGACU